AGCGAACGCUGGCGGCAGGCCUAACACAUGCAAGUCGAACGGAUCCUUCGGGAUUAGUGGCGGACGGGUGAGUAACACGUGGGAACGUGCCCUUUGGUUCGGAACAACUCAGGGAAACUUGAGCUAAUACCGGAUGUGCCCUUCGGGGGAAAGAUUUAUCGCCAUUGGAGCGGCCCGCGUCUGAUUAGCUAGUUGGUGAGGUAAAGGCUAACCAAGGCGACGAUCAGUAGCUGGUCUGAGAGGAUGAUCAGCCACAUUGGGACUGAGACACGGCCCAAACUCCUACGGGAGGCAGCAGUGGGGAAUUUUGCGCAAUGGGCGAAAGCCUGACGCAGCCAUGCCGCGUGAAUGAUGAAGGUCUUAGGAUUGUAAAAUUCUUUCACCGGGGACGAUAAUGACGGUACCCGGAGAAGAAGCCCCGGCUAACUUCGUGCCAGCCGCCGCGGUAACAC
rnacentral:rRNA from 1 species